rnacentral:lncRNA from 1 species
GCCCUUGGCUGGAGCGCCGGAGCCGCGCGGGGGCAGCCUUUUCAGCUCUGGGCUUUCCAGCCCCGGCAGAAGGCGGGUUUUGCUUUCCUUUUGUCUCUUAGCCGGCCUCGUCUCCGAUUCUGAUCGUGAGCCAGCCACACCAGGGCUAAGCAUGGCCGACGAAACUUCCCAGGACCCUCAGGACCUUCCACUCUUUGUAGAAGAGGAUGACAUACUGAAGCAGGAGUUCCAAGUUGGGGACCCUUGAAGACCCAUGGAUAGAAUUCAGAAAGUCUGUGAACUUGGAUGGGAAAGAAAUUACAUCUUUAUUUUCAGUAAUCACUAAUAGAAAUUAGCAUUUCCUUCAACUAAAAGUGGAGCCCCCCGCUACCCCAACCCUCAAAAGCGCUAGUGAUUGUGUUACUGGUAGAAAUCUCUUAAGAUUUUCACAUCACAUUACAGUCAUAGAUAUCCUGAAAUAUUAUUUAUGCUCAUUGCUAAUUUAAAAUCAUGGUAGAUGUUAGGCCUGACACUAGGUUUUGUUAUUUAAUGAGUUAAUAAAGAAGCAUUUAUCUUAGUGUAUCACGUAUUUUGCUUUUAAAAUAUUUUAUGGGAGUUCCCAUUGUGGCUCAGUGGGUUAAGGACCCAACAUAGUGUCUGUGAGGAUUCGGGUUUGAUCCCUGGCCUUGCUCAGUGGGCUAACUACCCAGCAUUGCUGCAAGCUGCGGAACAGUCACAGAUGCAGCUCUAGUCUGGUGUUGCUGUGGCUAUGGUGGAGGCCAGCAGCUGCAGCUCUGACUCAAUCCCUGCCCUGGGAAACUUUCAUAUGCCACAGGUGUGGCUGUAAAAAGAAAAUAAAACAUAACAUUACAAAUUUUCUUCCUUUGUAAUUCUGUAUAUUUUAUUUCAAAUAUUUAGAGAUAUUAUUUAAUACUUUAUUUGUAUGCACAGUGCCUGUCACUUAAUAGGCGUGCCAUGAAUGAUUCUUCAUGGUCAUGAGAAUUUUUCCUAUACUUUUGGUUCUGCCUUAAAUCUAUAAUUAUGUAAAGAAUAAGCCAGCAAGGCCAGCUUGGUCCAUAGAAAAAACUUGACUACAUUUUCAAAUAAUGUGGUUAGGGAAAGAUUUAUUAUUUCACUUAAACUUUUUAUCCUCAAAUAAAGUUUGAA